rnacentral:rRNA from 1 species
CCUACGGGCGGCAGCAGUGAGGAAUAUUGGUCAAUGGGCGCGAGCCUGAACCAGCCAAGUAGCGUGAAGGAUGACUGCCCUCUGGGUUGUAAACUUCUUUUAUAUGGGAAUAAAUUGCUGAAUGUAUAUGUUUUCGUUUGUACCUUAUGAAUAAGGAUCGGCUAACUCCGUGCCAGCAGCCGCGGUACUACGGAGGAUCCGUGCGUUAUCCGGAUUUAUUGGGUUUAAAGGGAGCGUAGGCGGGUUGUUAAGUCAGUUGUGAAAGUUUGCGGCUCAACCGGAAUAUUGCAGUUGAAACUGGGAGCCUUGAGUGCAGUAGAGGUGGGCGGAAUUCGUGGUGUAGCGGUGAAAUGCUUAGAUAUAACGAAGAACUCCGGUUGCGAAGGCAGCUCGCUGGACUGUAACUGACGCUGAGGCUCGAAAGUGUGGGUAUCAAACAGGAUUAGAUACCCUGGUAGUC